rnacentral:rRNA from 1 species
AUUGAACGCUGGCGGCAGGCCUAACACUUGCAAGUCGAGCGGGGUUUUCGGACCUAGCGGCGGACGGGUGAGUAAUACGUAGGAAGCUGCCCGAUAGAGGGGGAUACCAGUUGGAAACGACUGUUAAUACCGCAUAAUGUCUACGGACCAAAGUGUGGGACCUUCGGGCCACAUGCUAUCGGAUGCGCCUACGUGGGAUUAGCUAGUUGGUGAGGUAAUGGCUCACCAAGGCGACGAUCUCUAGCUGGUUUGAGAGGAUGAUCAGCCACACUGGAACUGAGACACGGUCCAGACUCCUACGGGAGGCAGCAGUGGGGAAUAUUGGACAAUGGGCGCAAGCCUGAUCCAGCCAUGCCGCGUGUGUGAAGAAGGCCUUCGGGUUGUAAAGCACUUUCAGCGAGGAGGAAGGGGUGUGUGUUAAUAGUACACACCUUUGACGUUACUCGCAGAAGAAGCACCGGCUAACUCUGUGCCAGCCGCCGCGGUAAUAC